GGGUGACUUACCCGUGGCCUCUCUGUGUGUUGGCUGGGAUGGAUGCAGCCCAUCUGGCUGGCUAGGCAGGCAGGCAGGCAGCCCCUUCCUUCCUCACUUGAAGCUUUGUGCUUGGUCAAAGAGGUCAGUCCCCUUCUUAAAUAGAUAAGGACCUCCUUCUGACUUGGGUAUGUGGGAAACUGUGCUCCUCUACGAAUCCUUCCAAACGAUCCCUCAAGGUCCAAGAAGAAAGUGGCAGGGUGUUUGUGAGGGGUAGAUGACAUCACAGAUAUAAAACACUUUGUAAACUCU
rnacentral:snRNA from 1 species